GUUGGCUACGUUCGGGAGGGAUAACCGCUGAAAGCAUCUAAGCGGGAAGCCUGCUUCGAGAUGAGGGCUCCCACCCACUUGAUGGGGUAAGGCUCCCAGUAGACGACUGGGUUGAUAGGCCGGAUGUGGAAGCCUCGUGAGGGGUGGAGCUGACCGGUACUAAUAGGCCGAGGGCUUGUCCAU
rnacentral:rRNA from 1 species